UUUUGUCAACGUACUUCCGGCUGCAUAUGAUGAGCAGCUGAGGCAGUGACUGAAGGCGACGCGUUAAACUUAAAAAGCUCACUCAAGCGCCUUUAUGUUUGUUUCUUACCAAUUUUAACGGACGGGGAGCCGACUGAGGAACACCCUAAUCCCAAGUAAUGGUUCGACUAUGAUGUUCCGGUAACUUUAAACCACGCCGGGUGUUGAAAAGGUGGUCAGUUUCAGAUGCAUUGAUGUUUAGUGAUGCAGUGGACAACUGUGAGGAUGAUACAAUCAACGUGUUCCUAAACUGUGAUGCUGAAACACAAUGGGAGGAUCAAUCCGUCUUUUAACACAACUACACUUUAAAAUCACAACUCAACCUGAAGCAACCUACAUCUGAUAUGGGAAAACAACCUUGCAGUUUCCCUGACAGGGCUUAUGCUAGUCCCAGGCUAAAAUGCUUAUUUGAGCUACGAUAAUUUAAAUACACCUUGUACUGACAUACCUCAACAUAUAUGAGUGUCAUUGUUUUGUCACAAGAUGUGGUUUGUUUGUAAAAACUAUGUCCUAAUAUAAUUAAGGCCUAGUCUUGUAAACCCUGUCCGAGAAACUGCUUCAAUGCUUCUGCUUCAUGUGUUGAGCUGGCACAAAUGUACAUAUCUCUGCUGAGAAACAGCCAUCUUUGUCAGCUUUACACAGGGUUGAUAUUGCAUGCAUUACACAGUCGCUAAGCACGUCACCAUUACAUACACCAACAGCUUCCAGAUAAACACUUGGGAUCAGCUCCUGAUGACUGAUAAAACUGCGUCUUAAUUCAUUGCAGGGUGGUCUUGCUGAAAAGUUAGUUGUUUCUUAGUCCAUAGUUAUUUUUAAAAACCUUUACAAUGUGACCUGAUUUUACCUGUUGUAAAGUUACAUUAAACCUUCAUAUGUGAUCAGAUGUCAUGCAGUGAUAUUAAACAUAUACAAUGUGAUCUGCCAUGCAGUUAUAUUAAACCUUUACAAUGUGAUUAGAUGUUGUGCAGUUAUAUUAAACAUUUACAAUGUGAUCAGAUGUUACCUGUCAUGCAUUUAUAUUAAACCUUUACAAUGUGAUCAGAUAUUGUGCAGUUAUAUUAAAUCUUUACAAUGUGA